CCAUUUUCCUUUUCCACUUUGGGUCCUUCAUGUACCCAUGGGUUUAUUGGCUUACAUGUUACCAAAUUUUCUCCAAUCAAGCCAAUCUUUGCUGCCACAAGACAUUUCUCUAAGUCACUAACUCAUUUUCAAGGACUACUCGAGCCAAAAACAAGAAUUCUUACUGUUCCUUGCUUGAAUCACCAAAAUCAAGCUUUUUCUUCUUUUCUCUCUUUUUCUUUCUUAUCCUCCUAGGGUUUAGAUGUGCUGGAAAUUGGGGUUAAAGACUGUAAAUUUAGUGCUUAAGAAGUUUGGAGAAGAAAGGAAAAGAAAACAUGAAAAGGAAAGUGAAGAAAACUUGAUUUCAUGGCGACAAAGAGAAAAUGGCAUGGAAGCUUCAA
rnacentral:lncRNA from 1 species